ACAUCACGAUAUGUCAGAUGGUGGUAAAUUGGUAAUCGCUGUCAGAUUGUUGACAACUGAAACAGCUGUUGAUUCUCAUUAUAGUUUAGUGUUUUGUAAACAAAACCUUUCGAAUCAGUGCUGAUGGUCUGAUAAUAAUAGUCUGCUAGUUCGUGCUAAUGAAUCAAAAAGAUUAACGAUGAGCGAGUGUUUGUCAUUUUUUACGCUAUAAGUGCAGUCUACUUUGUUGGGGUGAUGGUUCGGUUGAUGUUGCCUUAUACUCCGGUGGUUUGCAUUCUCGCUGGUGUAGCCUUCUUUGGCUUGUUAAAAGUGUUUUUGGCGAAAAAUGUGACCGUUAAAGAAUGAAUGGAAACGAUUAUGAAUAGGAGGAAGGUACAGACAAAAGGGAACAGUUUUAUGACAAGGCAGGAAAGUUGAACCACAGAAAAGUCGCACAGUCCGCACAGUACUCACGAGGGGCAGCAUAUCAAACGGAAUCCUAAAAGUGCUGCUAUUGUGGUGAUGCUUAUUCUACUGGGUUACGUCAAACACGUACAGUAGUUCAUCGAUUGUACUCGCUUUCUACAAUUGUAAUGAUGGUAUCCCCAACAUUUGAAGUGUUUUCCGCUAAGCUUACUGGCUUUUUUUAAAACACCGCCCGGAUGAUCAUGUCAUGUCUUGGUGCGACUGUAGCUAUCAGAUACCUGGGACGGCGACCCGGACUAAACUGGUGGACAAUAAUACGUGGAACAACAUAUAGCGCUGGUAGGAUAGACGAUGUUGUCGCCGGAAGAUGAAUCUUACGGGAUUAUGAUCUCGAUGAAUGUAGAUUAUGUGCGGAUUAUCCUCGGAGAUGUAUCGGCUACAGUGGAGAUGGCAUCAAUAUUUUUUGGUGAAUGAUGAAAAUUGCCGAAGGUGAACAUCUAAAGACAUCAGGGAAAGCGAUGUUUGGAUUAUAUGGAGGUCCAGCUAGUUACGAUCGUACACGAAAUGUUGUAAUUGAUACAAAGAGUUCGACCUCAUGUACUUGGCGGAAUCUAUCAGUAAUUACUGCUACUGUCGACUGCGAGAGACUAUGAGAAGUGUGUUUGUUUCUGGAAUAUCAGCGAUUGUUUUCGGUUUUAUGAUGACAAUUAAGAGAAGCACAUAUAAUAAUUUCAGAUAAAUUUUAUAAUUUCAGAUAAAUAAUGAGCAAAAUUUCUCUUUCGGAUGUAGAAUGCUGAUGAUCUUCACUAACGCCGCAUUAUAGCAUUGUAGAAAAAAAUAUUGACUAUACAUAUUUCUUUUUUUAGUUACUAGCUAAUCUUUUUAAUCGAACCAUUUACCGAUAAAGUAUUAUUAUCUUGUCAACGCUUGGGUUCUGAGAAUCUUAUCGAUUUCCUGGACAGGGUGACGCUGUAUACUUUUAGUGGAUGUAUUCAAUUGGAUCUAUAAAAGAGAGUUGAAGGGAACAGUAGUUAUUUAAUUAUCAAAUAAAGAAUCGAAAGUUGAGUUGUGUUUUAUAAUUGUCAGAAGGUGAAUUUCAA